AACGAACGCUGGCGGCAUGCCUAACACAUGCAAGUCGAACGAGACCUUCGGGUCUAGUGGCGCACGGGUGCGUAACGCGUGGGAAUCUGCCCUUGGGUUCGGAAUAACAGUUGGAAACGACUGCUAAUACCGGAUGAUGACGUAAGUCCAAAGAUUUAUCGCCCAAGGAUGAGCCCGCGUAGGAUUAGCUAGUUGGUGAGGUAAAGGCUCACCAAGGCGACGAUCCUUAGCUGGUCUGAGAGGAUGAUCAGCCACACUGGGACUGAGACACGGCCCAGACUCCUACGGGAGGCAGCAGUGGGGAAUAUUGGACAAUGGGCGAAAGCCUGAUCCAGCAAUGCCGCGUGAGUGAUGAAGGCCUUAGGGUUGUAAAGCUCUUUUACCCGGGAUGAUAAUGGCAGUACCGGGAGAAUAAGCUCCGGCUAACUCCGUG
rnacentral:rRNA from 1 species